AUGAAAAGGAUGACAGGCAAA
rnacentral:piRNA from 1 species